GAAAAAAAUCCCACUCCACGUCCCCUCGUCCCCCACCUGAUCCGAUCCCCAACCUCCCGAUCUCCCCAGUCCUAGCGACGGCCACCUCUCCCUUACCCCACCUCCACCCGGCGUCGUCGCCCGCGCCUCCUUCUGGCGAGUCGCCGCCCCCUCCCACUCCCGCCCCGCCGGCAAGCCGGGCGCCGCCAUGCCCGCCCUUCCCUUUGACCGAUCUCCUCCUUCCUCCCUGUCGACACCGUGGGAGCACCCAUCCGGCCACCCAGACCCCAGCCGGUGACGCCGCCACUGCCACGCAGCCGCAGCCACGCCCCUGACGACGGCGCCGCCGUAGCCACAUCCCCGCCGACGACGCCACCGCAGCCUCGAGCCCAACCGAUGACGCGGCACACCACCUGCCGGAACACCUCGGCGUCACUGGAUCCGGUGAGGAUCUUCACCACCCUCCACUCUCCGGCGACCACCAGCCCGCGUGCGGAUGGGGUGCUAUCCUGCAGCUCGAGGAGGUGUCAAACUUCAGAUGGAGGAGGUCACAACCUGCAGCUGGCCACGCGCCAUGGUCGCGCGUCGCCGGCAUCCUCCGCCACGCUCGGCACCUCCUGAGCGUUGGAGUGAAGAGCGAGCACCCUCACCCUGAUCCGAUCUGCAGUAGCGCCCCAGAGUAAGCAGCCCUGAGCCGUUCAAGUAUGUAGCCGCGGGCCGUUCAACGACGGAGCUGCCGACCGUUCGUGAAGACAACAUCCCGGAUCCUGCUGCCCACCAUCAAGUUCAACUUCUGUUGAAUCAUGUAAAGGGAGACUUAUUGUGUUGAUCCUGGUGCUUGUCGCCAUUCACAAGGAAAGAUAGUCGGUCUUUGAAUGGGUGAGUGAUCUUGCUGUUGCUGGGAUGCUAUUCAACAUGGGGAUUUGAUCUCCCUUGAGGUGCAGUGUAGCGAGAUAUAUGCUGCUGCCACUUUUGGAUUUACUGUUGAGAUGGUCACUCAAGCUCAAUAUUGAUUAGUCCUUCCCCUAGAUCUUUCCCUACAUGCUCUGUAGGUCAUCAGUAAGAACAAAAAGUAUGCCUCUAAGCUGCUUGUGUUUAUUCCACAAAAUAAAUUAGUAUGGCUGCACAUGGUCAACUAUUCUUGACUAGUUUCUGUAGUAAUUUGUAUGGCUGACAAUUUUCAGCAGUAAUAACAUGCCUACAGUCCAUUGUGUCUGAUUUUCAGCAGGCCAACUUGAUUAAUGCUAGUGCAACUCA